ACCACAUAAAUUGGUGGGGGAUAACAAUCUUUGCGUUGGCAGGACGAUAAGGCCAACCCAACGUACAUCUUCCGCGUACGUGUGGAGUUUGUAGGUGCGGUCCUCCUUACCCACAUCAUUUGUGGGUGUUACGUGGUGCCAUUUUCAUUUUCGCAUGGACAUUUUGGUACGACACAGAUCACAGACAGAGAGAGAGAGAAGAAGAAGAUCGAAGUCAAUGUGCAUCUGUUUGUUCCUUUGUGGGGGUACUUUGUGGUUUCCUUUGUGUCCAUGGUUGGGUGGACAGAUUGGCCUUGUGGGGUUGCUUUGAGUGGGAUGGACGAUUGGGAUUUUGAUGCAUUCGAUCAAAGAGCAGCACCACCCAUGCAUGCAGAUAUGGACGUUGCGGGUUUUCUUUCUUUUCUUUUUUUGUUGUUAUUUAAUAAAAAAAUUUAUGGUAAUAAUUAUGUUUUGUUGUAUCUUUUUAUUUUA